UCUCCAGGAACAAAAAAAAAUGUCAAAUUUUUUUUUCUUAUCAUCUUUCACGACGAAGGGGUUUUUCCAGAUCUGAGAAAUCAGAAGUUCUUUCUUAUGAUUCUUCCAUAUUUAAAUCAGAAAUAAUAGAUUAAUUUAGAUUUUACAUUUAGUCAAAAGUUUCGAUCUCCAAAAUUCUAUAUCGUUUUCAUCUUCAGAAUGCCAGAACUCUGCAAAUUAUCGAAUGGUUCAAGUUGUAGAUAAUCAAAUUUGGAAACAAACGUAUGGGAGAUUUGUAGCUUACAAUAAAUGUUUCGAUUGAUUCCAUCUUAUCAGAUAUGGACAGCCAUAUAUGAUUUGAGAUAGGUUAGUUGAGAUUCUAAGCAAUAAGUUAUAAAAGUGUCUGAUACUGUUUAUAUGGAUUCAUCAAUUUGAAAAGGUUGAAGUUCAUAAAUGUAACAAAGUACUGCUACCAGCACUAAGCGUCUUCCAGGCAUUUUGAUUAUGGUUGAAGUUCAUAAAUUUAACAAAAUACUGCUACCAGCACUAAGCAUCUUCCAGGCAAUUUGAUUGAGG